rnacentral:rRNA from 1 species
GUCGAACGCUGGCGGCGUGCCUAAUACAUGCAAGUAGAACGCAGUUGCGAACGGGUGAGUAACGCGUAGGUAACUGCCUCAUAGCGGGGGUUAACUAUCGGAAACGAUAGCUAAUACCGCAUACUGUGAGAUGGACCCGCGUUGUAUUAGCUAGUUGGUGAGGUAAAGGCUCACCAAGGCGACGAUACAUAGCCGACCUGGGAGGGAGGUCGGCCACACCUGGACUGGGGAACGGCCCAGACUCCUUCGGGAGGCAACAGUAGGGGAUCUUCGGCAAUGGGCGGAAGUCUGGACGCGCAACGCCGCGUGAGUGAAGAAGGUUUUCGGGUCGUUAAGCUCUGUUGUUAGAGAAGCGGUAACUGCCCAGAAAGGAACGGCUAACUACGUGCCAGCCGCCGCGGUAAUAC